GUAACACGUGGGCAAUCUGCCCUUCACUCUGGGACAAGCCCUGGAAACGGGGUCUAAUACCGGAUAACACUCUGUCCCGCAUGGGACGGGGUUAAAAGCUCCGGCGGUGAAGGAUGAGCCCGCGGCCUAUCAGCUUGUUGGUGGGGUAAUGGCCUACCAAGGCGACGACGGGUAGCCGGCCUGAGAGGGCGACCGGCCACACUGGGACUGAGACACGGCCCAGACUCCUACGGGAGGCAGCAGUGGGGAAUAUUGCACAAUGGGCGAAAGCCUGAUGCAGCGACGCCGCGUGAGGGAUGACGGCCUUCGGGUUGUAAACCUCUUUCAGCAGGGAAGAAGCGAAAGUGACGGUACCUGCAGAAGAAGCGCCGGCUAACUACGUGCCAGCAGCCGCGGUAAUACGUAGGGCGCAAGCGUUGUCCGGAAUUAUUGGGCGUAAAGAGCUCGUAGGCGGCUUGUCACGUCGGAUGUGAAAGCCCGGGGCUUAACCCCGGGUCUGCAUUCGAUACGGGCUAGCUAGAGUGUGGUAGGGGAGAUCGGAAUUCCUGGUGUAGCGGUGAAAUGCGCAGAUAUCAGGAGGAACACCGGUGGCGAAGGCGGAUCUCUGGGCYAUUACUGACGCUGAGGAGCGAAAGCGUGGGGAGCGAACAGGAUUAGAUACCCUGGUAGUCCACGCCGUAAACGUUGGGAACUAGGUGUUGGCGACAUUCCACGUCGUCGGUGCCGCAGCUAACGCAUUAAGUUCCCCGCCUGGGGAGUACGGCCGCAAGG
rnacentral:rRNA from 1 species